UUAUUACUCCCUCCGUCCGAAAAUACUUGUCAUCAAAAUGAAUAAAAGGGGAUGUAUCUAGAUGUAUUUUAGUUCUAGAUACAUCCUUUUUUGUCCAUUUUGAUGACAAGUAUAUUCGGACGGAGGGAGUAUAUG
rnacentral:pre_miRNA from 1 species